AACAGUUAUCACAGUGAACGGAACUGCUCCAGCAAAUACGCUACCAGCGAAUGCGCAUACUUCUCUAUGCUAGAGGAUAAAUCCUACAGCGAGACGCGCGUGAGUGCAUUGGUUUCCAGAACGGUCGAUAUGAACAAGUAUCGAUGAAUAACAUCGAUAUAUCGCUGCUCGCUGUCGUCUGCUGUUUCGCUUGUUAUUUUUCACCACAGUAUCAUCAAUAAGGUCAUUUUUAUUAAAUUUGGCUGAUUAAAUUGUAAAAAUUAUAGGAUUUGGAUAAUGAAUGUUCGUUUCAUCACAAGUAUCUCAUCAGAGUUGCUCUCGUUUUGGAAUCAGGAUAUGGAAGCUGUUAAAAAGCCAGCGUUUGUUUGAAUUUAUUAGCAUCGAUUGGAAAAUGCGCAGAAAUGCUGGAAACAUUAUUUUUGGCACUCUCCUCUUGGGUAUAGGAAUUUUUCUACUUUAUUCAAACGAGAUGAAAGCUGUGGAAAUGACCAACUCUUUACACGAUGCAUUGAAUAGUGUAAUUCAAGUGCAUCUGCUUGAUCCGAUCUAUGAAAUAAAUGAGGGCAUGUUAAUUUAUAUAUGCGGCCCUAUUCAAUUGGAUGAACCUCUCACUGAACCUGAGUAUGGUAUCUCCGUUCCCGCCGUCAAGCUUAAGCGCCGAGUCCAAAUGUACCAGUGGGUCGAGGAAAUUACUAAAAAAGCUGUUGAUGAUACUCUACCAACAGCUGAUUCCUCAUUCUCAGCUACAUACACUACUGAAUGGAAAGACAAACUAAUUGAUAGCAACAGAUUCUUCAAUACUGCGGACCAUCAUAAUCCAACGGAAUUUCCGUUGAAAAGUGCGAUGUAUGUGAGUGACGUAGUACGUUUGGGAAGGUACACAUUGAGUACAGAGCUCAAAGAUAAGUUUUCUGAUUUUAUAUCUGUGACCAGUGAUGAGAGGCCCGAGCGCCGUGAUAUAAAGUUGCACGUUGGCCUGUACUACCAUAGUAUCGAUGUUUGGAAUCCAGAGGUUGGAGAUAUAAGAGUGCAAUUCUCCUAUGCGGGGCCACAAGGGGCUGUUGUUACAGUCGUUGGGAGACAAGUGAAUUCUGAACUGCAAGGAAGUUUGCUAGCUCCAGGUAGAGUUCCCGUGUAUAUGAUGCUGUCUCAGCAGCAUGCAAAUCAUACCUGGUUCACAAGGCUGUUCCGCAUAUUAGCAUGGAUGUUGGUGUAUCUGGGUGCAACUUUCCUUCAUCAUCUAAAACAAAAAUCAGGCAAUAGAAUAUGAAAAUACAAGGUAAGCUUAUAAUAAGCUGUGUGAUGGUGGCUUAAUAUGUACAGUAAAACUGCUGCCAUCAAGCGCCGCACAUGUGAAUCGGCACAUUGUGCAGCUGAGUAAUCGGCGCAGCACUUUGUUCAGAUCGGCUCAAAUCUCCUGUUCGAAAAAUGUGAAAAAUUCUAUUCAUCCAUUGCAUGACCUUGAUACCUUGAACAGUAAGGGUUUCAAAACAAUAAUAAAAAAUGAAUUGGUUAGAACACAAGCAGUACAGUGCGUCUUAUUGCUUUUAGUUCCCCCCUCUCUCUCUCUCUCUCUCUCUCUACCUAGCUCUGUCUAUCUCCCUGGAGGAGGAGAAGGGUGCUUUCUCCCUGCAGAGCUGAAUGAGACCCCUGUCAUCAUUAAAACCGCAACGUUACAACCGCAUCAAUAAAAUGUUACAACAGAAUCGGACUGGAUGAGAAUUGGUUGAGUGUGUCAAUGUCAUUCUGCGUUGGACUGGUGGUGACUGGCGCUGUCUGGUAUUCUCACCGUCCCUGGCUGGGCUGGAUUCUCUUCUCAGGA
rnacentral:misc_RNA from 1 species